rnacentral:rRNA from 1 species
GAUAAACGCUGGCGGCGUGCCUAAUGCAUGCAAGUCGCACGGGGAGCACCUUCGGGUGCUUCGAGUGGCGAACGGGUGAGGAACACGUGGCCGACCUACCCCGGCGUGGGGGAUACCCGCCAGAAAUGGCGGCUAAUACCGCGUACGGUCGCAUCCCUGUGGGGGGUGCGAAGAAAGCAGCGAUGCGCGCUGGGAGGGGGCUGCGGCCGAUUAGCUCGUUGGCGGGGUAACGGCCCACCAAGGCGAUGAUCGGUAGCGGGUCUGAGAGGAUGAUCCGCCACACGGGGACUGAGAGACGGCCCCGACUCCUACGGGAGGCAGCAGCAAGGGAUUUUCCGCAAUGGGGGCAACCCUGACGGAGCAACGCCGCGUGCGGGACGACGCCUC